CCCGACACAACAUAAGGGGGCACGCCCGCCGAACCACGUCAUCGGCUCCCUCUUGAGGAAGCACUUCCCUGGAUUGUCCAAGCCGGGUGAUGACGAUCCGCCGUCGCCAGGUUUAACCUGGGAGCAUUACGUACAUAAUAAGGAUGAGCACGAUGUCACCAUGGCCACUCGGGUCAUCAAUGCUUUUUUCAAACAUUUGCUUGCGUGGAUGGUGAGAAGCAGAAGGCGAUCAAAGGCAUCGUGAAGUCUGCCCGAAAGAUACUCUCUGACACCAAGCACACGCUGCGGUACAAAGCCGUGAUGCAGUGUCGGCCGCUGGACUCGAAGGGAGAGAAGAUGACAAGGAAGACUGCUUGCCAGACCAACUUGUCGUGAGAAGAAUACCUGUCAGUGGUGAAGGAACCCUGGAUGAAGGACGAUUGUUGGGAGGCCCUGGUUGACAUGUGGUGUGACCCAGCAUGGCAGGCGCAGCAUGUGGAGAAGGGAAACGAAUGAGCCAAAAUGCCAGGCCCGGCUCAUGUCCAGGGGAGCCGGAACCUAACCGCUCUCAAGCAACACAUGGAGGCGAAGGUUGGUCGACAGGUCCACAUCCUGGAAGCCUGAAAAGAAGGCCACAAGGGGAAGGAUGGCGUCGAGUUCUGCAGCGAGUCGGCGGAGGAGAAGUGGUGGACUUUCAAAGAGGUCUUCCAGGAGGUGCACGGGGAGGAAGCCGAACCUACGUCCAAGCCCCUUGACCCUGAGCUUCUCAUCAUUGCUGGCGAGGGGAAGGGCCAUGGCCGCCACCUCCUUUGCAACGGGGCGAUCGCCACCUCCGGGCACCGCAAGCUGCACGAGAUAUGCACGUCGAGCACCAGCUCAACUCCGUCCAUACGGAGUCGCCCAACCACCGCAUCACGUGAGAUAGCGCGUCUCAAGGAUUUAAUGGCGCAGCGGGCUGUUGAAGAGGAGCAAAGGCGGAAGGCUGAGGAGGAGUCCAGAGAAAAGGAACAUGUAGACACUAACAAUAGGUUGAAGAUGCUUGAGGAUCAACUACAGGUAGAACAUUAUCUAAAC